ensembl:lncRNA
UGAUGAGCAGAAGAAACUUCUUUCAAAAACAUUAAAAAUAGUAAUGUUUCCAAACUUUUGGUCUGUACUGUGUGUAUAUAUAUAUAUAUAUAUAUAUAUAUAUAUAUAUAUAUAUAUAUAUAUAUAUAUAUAUAUAUAUACAUUAUUCGCGAUUAAUCUCAACCAAAAUAAAAGUUUUUGUUUGCAUAAUAUUUGUGUUCUGUGUAUAUUUAAUAUGCAUAUAUAAAGACACACACAUACAGUAUAUAUUUAAAAAAUAUUUACAUGUAUUUACAUGUCUAUAUUUAUAUUAUGCACAGCGCACAUACAUAUAUUAUGUAAACAACAAAAACUAUUACUUUGGAUGUGAGUAAUCAUGAUUAAUCGUUUGACAACACUAAUAUAUAUGGGUUAUAAGAAAGGGUUAACUUUCUAUAUCCAAAAUGACUUUUUCCUGAGAUUCAUAUGGAUGGAUUUUCUUUUUUUCUUUCAAAUCUAUAUUGUAACUUUGUCUUUGUUUAGUGACAAAAUAUAUUUUACAAAUUACUUUUGUAAUUAAGUAACUUUAAAAAUGUUUUGUGUGUGUGUGUGUUCGUGACUAUAAUAUGUAGAUGCUUUAAGCAGUGAAAUCAGUUUAAUCAGUUUAACUUGAGAUGUUGGCCUGUAGUUUUCAUAAAUUGAAGACUCGCCUUUUUACCCAAUGAUUUUUAACAUUGCAAGUCAAACAAACACAUGUCCAGUGCAAAUGUUUCAAAACCUCUCUUGUGAUGUAGCUUUAUUUAAAACAGUAUAAUGUAUAUUACACAUUUCAUGUGUAUUCAUUCAUGUAUUUGUAUAGAAGAUUACAUUUAUUUGACUGUUUAUAUAACAAAAGCGCAAGAGGAUAUAUAAAGUGGGUUAAAAAAUGAAAGGGCUAAUUCAGAAAAAGCAUUGGUUGUCAACCCUCAUAUCUUAUAUGACUUUCUUUCAUUUGUGGAUCACAAAAGGAGAUGUUUAGCACAAUGCUCACACUGCUCUUUUUCAUUCAGUGAAAGCAGAGAAUGACCAGCAGCUCUCAAGCUUCCAAGAGGACCAAAACACCAUAAAAGUUUUAAUAAUGAACACUUCCCAAGUUUUCUGAAGCCAUUUUUGAGAAACGAGCCAAAUUUAAAUCUUUUUUUAAACCAGGGAGGAAGAUUUUUAGUGUGCAACAGCUUAAAUCGGGGUGUAUUGCUCAAGUGUAUAUGAAGUGUACUGCUGUGAACUGUUCCUUAACAUCAGGUGGAUGUGAAAAGCAGGAAAAUGCCACUUGAGCAUUUGUGCAAUAUCUGUGGUAUUACUUUAUGUUCAUAUAAUUGUUUGUGUCUGUAUGUUAUUUGUACUGCAUAUUUUGUUUUCUUUGGAACUUUUCCAUUUAAGGCACUUACCGUAUGGUCAUUAUCUGGUCAUAUUUCUUCUGUUCUACCCAUUCUGAAGAAUCAUUUUAUUCCAGUUGGAGAUACUUUAAAUGAAAUCAUUAAAACAUUGACUCCUUGUGUUUUUACAGUUCAGUUAUUGCUUCUCUGGGAAUUGCAUAACUGCCCAAAGAGGUAGAAGCAGAAGCUGCCCCAUGCAAAGUUUGGUCCAGCUUCUCUCUGUUGUCCCCUCUGACCCCUAAUCUUUUUCUGGCCCUGAGAAAAAUCAUCAUUACAAACAUAACAAAGAUAUAAAUGUUUUAGUGUUAAAUAUAGUUAUCCAAAAUAUAUAGAUUGAUGCUGCAUCCCAGUUUGCCUGCUUAUACUACUCCCAGAAAGUAUGCUCUCUUUCUGUGGAGAAAAAGUACAUACUUUUGAGUGUGCAGCAGAAUAGUAAGCAAGUCUUUAAUGCUCUGUCGCAUAGUUGCAUGCAUCCUGACACCAUUUAAACCACUAAUCGUCUUGUCACUGACACUGUUAAUGUUUUUCACAUUUUGUUUGAUUUAAUUUCCUACUGUAUUGGAGAUAAAUGAAGUGGCACAUUAA